CAUGCCCACGCGUGCGUCAUUGCGCAGGAGCGCGCCCAUAGAGGAAUCUGCUGACUGAGCACAAGCGGUUGUAUUGUCGUUCUUAUGCGAGCUCGAAUCGGCAAGUGUUGUCUUUAGUAGAACUGUGUAGCAUCCUGCGUUGGACGGACACAUACCGGAGGGGCUCUCUUCUGUUACGGAUUGCGUAAAUGUAGCGUGAAGGAUGCGCUGAGAUAUGUGACGUCUCUAACAUCGGCAGCUUCAGAUAAACUCUACUCAGCCCCCCCACUUCCUCUCCAGCCAUGGGUCCAUUUGUAUCUGCAGGGAACCUCUUCUCAGUCCUCCUCAUUAGCAGGUUUUUAGAGAGCACCAUGCUCAGUGCAGAAAUGAAGGAAGGAGAAAUUCUGCCUCCAACCAUUCAGAAGCUGAUGAAAGGAUAUAACAAGUACCUGAGGCCUUUCUUUGACAAUGGUCCUGUUACCGUGGGUAUGAGCUUGGACAUUGCCAGCAUUGACACCAUUUCAGAGAUCAACAUGGACUACACGGCCACCAUAUUCCUCCGGCAGCGUUGGACAGAUGAGCGUUUGGUGUUUGAAGGCAACAAGAGCCUGAGCCUCGACGGACGGCUAGUGGAGCUCCUCUGGGUCCCUGACACCUUCAUUGUGGACUCUAAGAAGUCUUUUCUUCAUGACAUCACUGUGGAGAAUAGACUGAUUCGCAUCUUCCCAAAUGGGACCGUCCUUUAUGCGCUGAGGAUUACCACCACUGUGGCCUGCAACAUGGAUUUGACAAAGUACCCGAUGGACAAGCAGACCUGCACACUCCAACUGGAGAGCUGGGGUUACAAUAUCAACGAUGUCAUGUUCUACUGGACCAGAGGGAACGAGUCUGUCAGCGGCCUAGACACUCUUCAGCUUGCUCAGUACACAGUGGAGGACCACUACACCUCUGUCUCAGAGGCUAUCUACGAAACUGGUCACUACCCAAAGCUGGUCUUCCACUUUGAACUAAAGAGGAGCAUCUUAUACUUCAUCCUGGAGACAUACGUUCCCUCAAGCCUGCUGGUUGUCCUCUCUUGGGUCUCCUUCUGGAUUUCCCUGUCCUCUGUUCCAGCACGUAUUUGUAUAGGAGUGACCACAGUGUUGACGAUGACCACGCUAAUGAUGGGAGCCCGCACUUCGCUGCCCAACGCCAACUGCUUCAUCAAAGCUAUCGAUGUGUACUUGGGAAUCUGCUUCAGCUUUAUCUUUGGGGCCCUCAUAGAGUACGCUGUAGCCCACUUCUGCACCCUCACUUACAGCGACUCGCACAUGCUCAUGUACGGCCACCAAAUGCACGACUUGGAUGAUGAAAUGAACGGCAUUGUCACCACCAUCUCCACACACCGCGAAAGGGCAAAGAGACGCAAGGAGCCUGAGACGGGUCCUGCUGCUGCUCCUGCCUCCACCGAAUUGGCCGCCAGCCCAUCGAGCCCAACGGGCAGCGAGCCCAAACCUGAGGCACCACCGCCAGAAACCACCAACUGGUGCCUCACUGUUCUGGCCACCCUUCGAAAAGUUCUCAGUUUCAUUAGCUGCUGUCAUAUAAAGAACCCACACCACAUAGACAACUAUUCAAGAGUCAGCUUCCCCUUGUCUUUUGUCAUUGUUAACCUUCUUUACUGGACAUAUUAUCUGUACUUUUAGCGUUUAUCCCAAUAUUUAGAGUUUAUUAUACUUUAAGUGUUUCUACUGAGUUUUUGUAUGUUUGAAUUCACAGGAAGGAAAGUGUUCAUGCCUUCAUAGUACUGUUUUAAUUUGUGAGCACAUACUUGAACAUUGGAUCCACUUCAGAAUUCUAAGAUGUUUUAGCCUCCUUGAUUCAAACUGGUGAAGUUUGACACUCAUUAACGUGACAUAAAAAAAUGCUUACGAGGAUAUGCAUAUUUAUCACUGUAGCGCAAUUAUUGUAAUUGUGUCUGUGCUCUGGGUAGCGGAUAACACAGAGAAGAUAGAGCUGCAAUUUAAAUGUCCAGCGGUGCUGAGGGAGGACAAGUGGUUGUUCCUCUUUUAGUCUCACUUGUGAUGGAUUGAUACUGUAUUCAUUUUUCCUCUCUGCCUGAAGGUACAACUUUUGAGGAAAAUUGGAAAAAAUGGAUGGGCAGCGAGUGGAAAAAUAAGGACAAAUGGUAGAUGCAGGAGAAUCAGUCAUGAUGGGAGUGAUUUAAAAACUAUAGAACCCGAUAUUUUUCUGCCUUGUUCUUUCCCAGUACAGUCUUUAGGUAAAUUCUGUGACAGCGAAUAGCACAAACUAUUUUAUGAAAAGCGCAUAACUCCACAUUAUACUGAUAUCAGUCACUAUCAAAUGAUACAGUUGUCAUAACCAAAUCGUAAUCAAUUCAGCCAAAAGUUCUCAUACCUCAUUUUGCUUCCAUUAUUUCAUUUUACAGUGGUAUCUCUGUUUUCAUUAUUAAUUUGUUCCAAAAGGUCAGACAAAAAACAAUUGUACGAAAACUGAAGCAAUUUUUCACAAAAGAAAUAUAAUAGCAAUGAAUCCGUUCCAGAUACCAAAAAUAUUAACAAAAAACACAUUUUAAAGACGGUAAUUAUAGUUUUACAUGUAGAAGACAAUGUGAAAUACUUAUAAAUGACAAAUGAAAUGUGUGCAUGAAUAUUUAACAUCACUUUUAUCUUUGAAGACUGUGGUUGGUGAAGACAGCCAGCAGAGGAGAGGGUGGAAGGGAGGGGAGAGGUACCUUCGUACUCAAUAAAAAGGGCACAGACAGUGAGUCACCAACGCUUGGGAUGCUUUGUUUGGCACUCGAUUCCGUGGAAUGAUACGCGAGUGAAUAGAAGACUUUCUUAUGUGCAAUAUUGGCCGUACGAUAACCCAGGCGAAAACAUUUGUCAAAAACGGAAUCAUACGAAAAUAGGGGUGUACAAAAAUCGAGGUUUGACUGUAAUUAGUUUUUCAUAUACUGUACAAUGGAGACAACGGUGGCCGCCAUCAUGACAGACCAUCUCUUGUGCAUGGAUACACCUUUUUGCUGCAGUGAAAAAUAUAUACCCAAGCAGUUCAUCAGAGUGUUGUAUACAAGAUAUACAGUAUACAUUGUAAUGAGGUAUUUUACAGUGUACAUUAUGCUUCCUCCUGAGCUAACUAUGGCUGGUUUCCAUUGCAACAGUAUUGCUGUUGUAUUGAACACCAAUUAUUGUUAUUUAACAGGAUUCCGGAGGCCCAUACAAGCUAUAUAUGAAAGGGUUCUUGAGUAAAUAAUUUUAUGUCUUCAAUGUGUUUUUACUGGAAUUAUAUUGCUGCUUGACUUCUUUUUAAAUGUUUAAAUAGUUUGAUGUUGUAUAGUCGAGGAAUGGAGGUUUUUUUCUACAGAUAUUUUUAUAAUUUUGAGUUCUAAGGAAACUUAGUAGCAACCAUAUGGUGUCAAUGCAGUGCCAAAAUCCACGCGCAUAAAAACCACCACUCUCCUGACGCUCGGGGUCUCUGAAUAACCGCACGUGCGCAGCGAACUGCCUUUGACACGUUUGAGGUUGCCGAGUUUUGUCACUCUGGAGACGGGCAUUCAAUUUCCUUUCUGAUUGGUCACUGUAAAUGCCUACUGUCUCUAGGUCAGAGCCAAUCCAAGGCAGAGUAGGUCUGGGUAAUAAUGGCGGCAGAAUUUGGUUGAAAAUUUUAGAUUGCGAUGUCAGAGGUAAUUUGAGGAACAGAUAAAUAUUUAAUUUUUGAAAUUAUAAAUUUAUUGAACAACCUGGGAGUAAUUGUGAUGGUUUACUGACUUACAAGGGCAAAAGGAGGCCCUACUCUUCCUCGGAUUGCCUAUGGCUUGGAGACAGUAGGCGUUUAAAGUGACCAAUCAAAAAAGGGUGGUGGUACCAUCUAUUCAAUGCCUGUCUCCAGAGUGCUAAAACAAAAAAGUGAUUAUGCGCUUGAUUAUGCGGUUUUUAUGCGUGUGGAUAUUGGCACUCUAUUGACGCCAUACAAUCCAUCCCUCCAGUUUCUCUACCGCUUGUCUUCACUAGGGUCGUAAGGGUAUGCGGGGGUCUAUCCCUGCUGACUUCAGGCGAGGGGCGGGGUACACCCUGGACUGGUCGCCAGCCAGUCGCAGGGCACACGCCACACAAUCCUUUCAGGUAUUACCUUUUAUAGUUAUUAUUUGCAAGGCUUUUUGCCUACAAAACAACUGCAUUUUCAGGACCUUUUUCACAUUUGAAAUUCACACAUUGAUGUACAGAAAUUCUGACAACUGUUUUUGAAAAGUCCCUCUCACUCCAGCAAAAAAGAGAGUUUUAGAAAACAAAAGAGAUGCAGUGUAGCAAUAUAGUAAUAUAAAGGACAUUUAAACCCUCUUUUACAGUGAAUCAUGAAUCAUGAAACAUAGCUGAGUGUUUGAUAAGACAUAAAGCAUAACCUUAAUGUGACGUAGUCCGUGCUGUAGUCUGUUUGCUAGCUUCCACUGAGUGAUGCUGGUUGGCUACUGAUGAUCUGAACCAAAGAUUCUAAACAGUUACAAAUUUAAAAGUGCAUUUUCCGAUGGUGGUCUGUUGCCAGUCAACAGAUGAACAUGACCUCUCAUACAGUGGCUUGAAAAAGUAUCAAAUACCCCUUGAACUAUUUCGCAUUUUGUCACGUUACGAACUACAAACAUAAAUAUAUUUUAUUGUGAAGUAGAAUGAUGAUUUUCACAUUUCUUUGGAAAUAAAAAACUGAAAAGUAUAACGUGCAAAAGUAUUCAGUCCCCCUGAGUCAAUACUUUGUGGAUGCUUUGCACGUUGAGAGACUAAAAUUUUAGCCCAGUCUUUUUUGCAAAACAGCUCAAGAUCAGCCUGGACUUUGACUGGACCAUUUUAACACGACAAUAUUUUUCGAUUCGAAACCAUACCAUUGCAGCUAUGGCUUUAUGUUUUGGGUUGUUGUCCUGUUGGAAGGUGAACCCACAUUCUAGUCUCAAGUCUUUUGCAGACUCCAACAGGUUUUCUUUCGAGAUAGCGGAUGGUGUGUUCACAGUGAUAUGCAGUGUUAGUUCUCCUUCACACAUAGCGUUUUGCAUUUAGGCCAAAAAGUUACAUUUUGGUUUGAUCGAACCAGAGCACCUUCUUCCACAUGUUUGCUAUGUUGAAGGUCAUGGCUCGAUGAAGCCAGCAGGACCACAUCAUCUGCAAAAAGCAGAGACGCAAUCCUACAGCCACCGAACCGCAUCCCCUCAAUGCCCCAUACCAGUAUAUCAGUACCCCAUAUUCUCGGAACACUCCCCACACAAUUCCUCAAAGAACACAGUUGAAUGCCUUCUCCAAGUCUACAAAACACAUGCAGACUUGUCGGGCAAAUUCAUAUGCACCCUCAAGGACUCUGCUGAGAGUGUAGAGCUGGGCCACAGUUCCACGACAAGGGCGAAAACCACACUGCUCCUCCUGAAUCCGAGAUUCAACUAUCCAGCACAUCCUCCUCUUUAGAAUCCCUUAAUAGAACUUACCAGGAAGGCUGAAAAGUGUGUUCCCACGAUACUUGGAACACACCCUCCGGUCCCCUUCUUAAAAAGGGGGACCACCACUCCGGUCUGCCAAUCCAGAGUCACGCCGAUGUCCCCCGAUGUCCACGCGAUGCUGAAGAAUCGUGUCAACCAAGACACCCCCACAGCAUCCAGGGCCUUAAGGAACUCUGCCGGAUCUCAUCCACCCCCCGGGACCCUGCCACCAAGUAGCUUUUUGACCACCUCGGCAACCUCAGCCCCAGAGAUAGGAGAGCCCAUUGUGGAGUCCCCAGGCACUGCUGCCUCACUUGAGGACGUGUGGGUGGGAUUGAGGAGGUCUUCAAAGAAUUCCUUCCACCGGUCCACAAAUGUUGAGUUGAGGUCAGCAGAACACCAUCCCCACCAUACAUGGUGUUGCUUGUGUACUGCUUCUCCCUCCUGAGAUGGCAGAUCGUGGUCCAGAAUUUCUUCGAAGUUGUCCGGAAGUCAUUCUCCAUGGCUUCUCCAAACUCCUCCCAUGUUCGGGUUUUUGCCUCAGCAACCGCCAGAGCCACGGACAGGUUGGAGUCCCAUGGGCUCCAGAGUCCCAUUGGCCAAAAAGACCAGAUAUAACUCUUUCUUCAGCUUGACGGCAUCCCUCACCGCUGGUUAUGUCAUCAACUACUGAUGUUUUACUUGGUCUACCAGUUCCACGUCUGUUAUUUAGUUAGUACAUCGAUGUUUUUUCUUAUUUUUCUUCAGGACAUUCCAAAUGGUUAUAGUGGCUAUGACUAACGUGUGCAAUGGUUCUGAUUGAUUUCCCGUCUUCCCCCAGAUUCUGUGGUUUUUAUGUUGUUUUCACCUCUAAAUGCAGUCUACACAGGCAGAACCUAUCCUACCCAAUCUUGUGAGUCUCCAAUAAACCUAACAUGCAUAUUUUUGGAAUGUGGGAGGGAGCAUCCGUAGAAAACCCACGCACGGACAGCGAGAACAUGCAAACUCCACACAGAAAUGGGCAAAAUGGACAUUCGAACCUGAGCGUAUACAUUCAGUGCUAGUUAGUGAUUGAAGAAGCAAUGUCAUACUUGUAGUCACAUGUUACAAUACUUUUGCUCACAUGAAAAAUGGGUGUGUUCAAACAAAAAAAGUGCUAUCUUCCAAGUUGUGCAUCCGAAGUGCUGCUCCAGGGUCUUGUAUUGAUCUUUUGAUGUCAAACCAAAAUGUUUUCAAUACUUCUGUUUUCCUGUACAUCUGGAGGGCACUGUAUUAAUGUUUAUGGUGGUGACAUGACAAAAUGCGGAAAAAUUCAAAGGGACUACUUUUUCAAGCCGCUGUACUGUAUAUCAGACAGGACAAAGCUGCACGUUCAUUCGGUAUUGCUGUAACAUUCACCCUAUUUUUUUGUUCAUUUACUCUUAGUGAGAGUCUCAGAUCUUUGAUGUGCUUUGAAAUUAAUGAAGCGUGCAGAGAAAGUAACACAUUGCCUUUUGAAACUACUGUAUUUCAGCUGCAUUGUUUCACUGUUUUGAAUCCAUUUUUUGCAUUGAUGGCGUCAAGACCUCCUUGCCUGAUGAUAAUGAGUAAAAUAUUUCCUUUAUAGCUUCUUCCUGCAUGCUUCUCAGUAUAUAACUUUGGUUUAUUCGAUAUUACUGGGUUUUAAUAUGAUGGGAGAAGAACCAUCCUGAUGCUUUGAUUGUCAACGAUGCCUCACCUUAUACCAGAAGGUCAGGCUCCGUGAGUUUCUGUUCUCAUUUUCAGCCUCAGAACUGUGAAGGUAUUGGAUUGGGAUGAGUCCUGUUGACUGAAAAAAAAUCAUGUAAAUGAUUUAACAACCUUUUUACGGACUGAGAUCACCUUCCUCGUAUGUUGGGGAGUUAGCUCUACUGUGAAAAGGACAUCAAAUGAACAAGGCUUCAAAAGGGAACACUUGGUCGCUCAACGUAAAUAAAAGUUAGAGAUGAAGCAUGACUUCACAGUUCCGCCUUCAUCAUGGACUCCACUUUAUGGUUACAAGGACCUGACGAAAGACAAAGAGACAAAAUUGCCAGAGAAAAGCAUGUCUUCGACUGUGAUAACAGACUACAGUGGACACGUUUCUCAGAGAUGGACUGAACCAUUUUCCCUUUCAUGUUGUAGGACGUGUCAAAUAAUACCUCAUGUGAUGUUGACGGCCACCCUGGGGCGUCUUCAUGUGAACUGUAUGAAUAAUGUAGCACUACUGUAUAAUGACUUAGAUAUUGUUCUGCGCAACCUGUUGUAAAUAAAUCCCGCCAACACGCAUGUUUAUUGUAAAGAAAUGACAGCAAUAAAAGAAUUCAAGUAUAUGAUAGACUACAUUUUAAGUACUAAGUGACUAAUUGUCGUUUGGCGCUUCGAAUUGCACGGCUUUACUUUAAAUAUGCUGUAUUGUGGUUGUGGUUGAAUAGUCAAAAAAUAUGCAUAUUUAAGCAAAUGUUUUUUUUUGUUUACCUAAAUGUAG